rnacentral:rRNA from 1 species
UAGGGAAUAUUAGAAAUGGACGAAAGUCUGAUCUAGCAGCACCGCGUGUGCGAAGAAGGCCUUCGGGUCGUAAAGCACUUUUUGGAAGGAAUAGGAAGAAAUGUACUUCCAGAAUAAGUCUCGGCUAACUACGUGCCAGCAGCCGCGGUAACACGUAGGAGGCAAACGUUAUCCGGAUUUACUGGGCGUAAAGCGCGUGUAGGUGGUACUGUAAGUAGGGCGUGAAAGCUCCUGGCUCAACUGGGAGAGGCCGUUCUAAACUACAGAACUAGAGGAUGGUAGAGGGAGGUGGAAUUCCAGGUGUAGCGGUGGAAUGCGCAGAUAUCUGGAGGAACACCGGUGGCGAAGGCGGCCUCCUAGACCAUUCCUGACACUCAGACGCAAAAGCUAGGGUAGCAAACGG